UACAGAGGUCCCAAGCGUUGUUCGGAUUCACUGGGCGUAAAGGGUGCGUAGGUGGUGAGGUAAGUUUAAGGUGAAAGCUCCGGGCCUAACCCGGAAAUUGCCUUGAAUACUAUCUCGCUAGAGGAUCGGAGGGGAGACUGGAAUUCUCGGUGUAGCAGUGAAAUGCGUAGAUAUCGAGAGGAACACCAGUGGCGAAGGCGAGUCUCUGGACGAUACCUGACACUGAGGCACGAAAGCCAGGGGAGCAAACGGG
rnacentral:rRNA from 1 species